rnacentral:rRNA from 1 species
GAUGAACGCUGGCGGUGUGCCUAAUACAUGCAAGUCGAACGAGGUCUUCGGACCUAGUGGCGAACGGGUGAGUAACACGUUGGUACCUACCCUCUAGUGGGGAAUAACUGGCCGAAAGGUCGGCUAAUACCGCAUAAUACCGCAAGGUUAAAGCAGUAAUACGCUAGAGGAGGGGCCUGCGUCCCAUUAGCUUGUUGGUAGUGUAAUGGACUACCAAGGCAACGAUGGGUAGCUGGAUCGAGAGGUUGACCAGCCACACUGGGACUGAGAUACGGCCCAGACUCCUACGGGAGGCAGCAGUAAGGAAUCUUCCACAAUGGGCGAAAGCCUGAUGGAGCAACACCGCGUGCAGGAUGACGGCCUUCGGGUUGUAAACUGCUUUUAUAUGGGAAGAUUAUGACGGUACCAUAUGAAUAAGCACCGGCUAACUACGUGCCAGCAGCCGCCGUAA